rnacentral:rRNA from 1 species
UUUACAAUGGAGAGUUUGAUCCUGGCUCAGGAUGAACGCUAGCGGCAGGCCUAAUACAUGCAAGUCGAACGGGCGCAGCAAUGCGUCAGUGGCGCACGGGUGCGUAACGCGUAGGCAAUCUGCCUACACCUGGGGGAUAGCCCGCCGAAAGGUGGAUUAAUACCGCAUGACACCGCGGGCCGGCAUCGGCUGGCGGUUAAAGAAUUUCGGGUGUAGAUGAGCCUGCGUGCCAUUAGCUAGUUGGCGGGGUAAGGGCCCACCAAGGCGACGAUGGCUAGGGGAGCUGAGAGGCCGAUCCCCCACACUGGCACUGAGAUACGGGCCAGACUCCUACGGGAGGCAGCAGUAGGGAAUAUUGGGCAAUGGGAGCAAUCCUGACCCAGCCAUGCCGCGUGCCGGAUGAAGGCCUUCUGGGUUGUAAACGGCUUUUGACCGGGAAGAAAAAGCCCCUGCGGGGGAAACCGACGGUACCGGUUGAAUAAGCACCGGCUAACUCCGUGCCAGCAGCCGCGGUAAUACGGAGGGUGCGAGCGUUGUCCGGAUUUAUUGGGUUUAAAGGGUGCGUAGGCGGCCCCGCAAGUCCGUGGUGAAAGCCUCUUGCUCAACAAGAGAACUGCCAUGGAUACUACGGGGCUUGAGUCCAGACGAGGUUGGCGGAAUGGACGGUGUAGCGGUGAAAUGCAUAGAUACCGUCCAGAACCCCGAUUGCGUAGGC